UACGUAGGGGGCAAGCGUUUGUCCGGAUUUAUUGGGCGUAAAGAGCGUGUAGGCGGCCAAGCAGGUCCGCUGUGAAAACUCGAGGCUCAACCUCGAGACGUCGGUGGAAACCGUUUGGCUAGAGUCCGGAAGGGGCGAGUGGAAUUCCUGGUGUAGCGGUGAAAUGCGCAGAUAUCAGGAGGAACACCUAUGGCGAAGGCAGCCUCCGCUGG
rnacentral:rRNA from 1 species